UUUUGUACAACCUUAAGGAUGAGGGGUAUAAAAAUGCUCUGAAAAAGGAGGAAGUGUGGUUGCAGAUAAGCGAAGUAUUGGGCCAAGAAGCUAAUGUAUGUAAAAAGCGCUGGAAAGGUUUGCGCGACCAUUAUUCGCGGUGCAAACGGGCCGAGACUUUGCCAUCAGGAAGCUCCGCUAGCAAGAGGACGAGAUGGAGGUUCUAUGACCAAAUGUCAUUUUUGGACAACUUCCAGUACUGCCGGAGAACGUGGAGCAAUGUUUUCGAAGUGGAGGAAAGUGUUAUUGAAGUGCAGGGAGAAGAAGACGAAGUACACA